UUUCGCAAUGCCCGAAAGGGUGACGAAGCGACGCCGCGUGUGGGAAGAAGGCCUUCGGGUUGUAAACCACUGUCGGGAGUUAAGAAAUGUAAGGGUGUUAAUAGCAUUCUUACUUGACUAAGGCUCCGGAGGAAGCCACGGCUAACUCUGUGCCAGCAGCCGCGGUAAUACAGAGGCGGCAAGCGUUGUUCGGAAUUAUUGGGCGUAAAGAGCACGUAGGCGACUGUGUAAGUCGGUUGUGAAAGCCUUCCGCUCAACGGGAGAACAGCAUCCGAUACUGCAUGGCUUGAGUGCGGGAGGGGAGAGUGGAACUUCUGGUGGAGCGGUGAAAUGCGUAGAUAUCAGAAGGAACGCCGGCGGCGAAAGCGGCUCUCUGGCCCAUAACUGACGCUGAGUGUGCGAAAGCUAGGGGAGCAAACGGGAUUAGAUACCCCGGUAGUCCUAGCCGUAAACGAUGGGCACUAAGUAGAGGGGUUUU
rnacentral:rRNA from 1 species